rnacentral:rRNA from 1 species
AUUCCAGCUCCAAUAGCGUAUAUUAAAGUUGUUGCAGUUAAAACGCUCGUAGUCGGAUUUCGGGGCGGGCCGACCGGUCUGCCGAUGGGUAUGCACUGGCCGGCGCGUCCUUCCACCCGGAGACCGCGCCUACUCUUAACUGAGCGGGCGCGGGAGACGGGUCUUUUACUUUGAAAAAAUCAGAGUGUUUCAAGCAGGCAGUCGCUCUUGCAUGGAUUAGCAUGGGAUAAUGAAAUAGGACUCUGGUGCUAUUUUGUUGGUUUCGAACACCGGAGUAAUGAUUAACAGGGACAGUCAGGGGCACUCGUAUUCCGCCGAGAGAGGUGAAAUUCUCAGACCAGCGGAAGACGAACCACUGCGAAAGCAUUUGCCAGGGAUGUUUUCAUCA